rnacentral:SRP_RNA from 1 species
CCGUGCUAGAUGGGGAGCUAGCGGUGCCCUGUACCCGCAAUCCGCUGGAGCGGGGUCGAACUCCUCCCCGAGAGCUCGGCGUCAACGCCUCUAGUCCGGGCGAUCGCGUUGAGAGCCGGGCCCUGCGCGGCGGCGCCUCGUGAACCCCGUCAGGUCCGGAAGGAAGCAGCGGUAAGCGGAAUGCGUCGUGCGCCGCAGACAAGCCUGGUUCGAGCGACGUUCAGAGGCCAAGCGUUGGCGUUCGAGACCGACGGGAGGUGCACGG